rnacentral:rRNA from 1 species
AACGAACGCUGGCGGCAUGCCUAACACAUGCAAGUCGAACGAGAUCUUCGGAUUUAGUGGCGCACGGGUGCGUAACGCGUGGGAAUGUGCCCUUGGGUUCGGGAUAACAGUUGGAAACGACUGCUAAUACCGGAUGACGACUUCGGUCCAAAGAUUUAUCGCCCAAGGAUGAGCCCGCGUAAGAUUAGCUUGUUGGUGAGGUAAAGGCUCACCAAGGCGACGAUCUUUAGCUGGUCUGAGAGGAUGAGCAGCGACACUGGGACUGAGACACGGCCCAGACACCUACGGGAGGCAGCAGUGGGGAAUAUUGGGCAAUGGGCGAAAGCCUGAUCCAGCAAUGCCGCGUGAGUGAUGAAAGCCUUAGGGUUGUAAAGCUCUUUUACCCGGGAUGAUAAUGACAGUACCGGGAGAAUAAGCCCCGGCUAACUCCGUGCCAGCCGCCGCGGUAAAAC